CCUACGGGGGGCUGCAGUGGGGAAUAUUGGACAAUGGGGGGAACCCUGAUCCAGCCAUGCCGCGUGUGUGAAGAAGGCCCUCGGUUUGUAAAGCACUUUCAGUGAGGAAGAACGCCUGGUGGUUAAUACCCAUCAGGAAAGACAUCACUCACAGAAGAAGCACCGGCUAACUCCGUGCCAGCAGCCGCGGUAAUACGGAGGGUGCGAGCGUUAAUCGGAAUUACUGGGCGUAAAGCGCGCGUAGGUGGCUUGAUAAGCCGGUUGUGAAAGCCCCGGGCUCAACCUGGGAACGGCAUCCGGAACUGUCAAGCUAGGGUGCAGGAGAGGAAGGUAGAAUUCCCGGUGUAGCGGUGAAAUGCGUAGAGAUCGGGAGGAAUACCAGUGGCGAAGGCGGCCUUCUGGACUGACACUGACACUGAGGUGCGAAAGCGUGGGUAGCAAACAGGAUUAGAUACCCUUGUAGUC
rnacentral:rRNA from 1 species